GCUGGCAUCAGGCACACCAGAUGGCCCAAGACGCCUUGCUCAGCCACACCCCCAAGGGAAUUCAGCAGUAAUAAACAUUAAGCCAUAAGUGAAAACUUGACUUAGUUAGGGUUAAGAGGGCCGGUAAAAUUCGUGCCAGCCACCGCGGUUAUACGAAAGACCCUAGUUUAUAGGCACGGCGUAAAGGGUGGUUAUGGGACAGACAAAAUAAAGCUAAAGACCCCCAGAGCCGUCAUACGCCCACGGGGGCGCGAGACCCAAAUACGAAAGUAGCUUUACCAAACAAAUGCCCGACCCCACGAAAGCUGGGAAACAAACUGGGAUUAGAUACCCCACUAUGCCCAGCCUUAAACCUAGAUGAAAACUUACAAAACCAUCCGCCCGGGGACUACAAGCACAGCUUAAAACCCAAAGGACUUGGCGGUGCCUCAGACCCACCUAGAGGAGCCUGUUCUAGAACCGAUAACCCCCGUUAAACCUCACCACCUCUUG
rnacentral:rRNA from 1 species